rfam:Danio rerio chromosome 3, GRCz11 reference primary assembly.
GCCCCAGUGGCCUAAUGGAUAAGGCACUGGCCCCCUAAGCCAGGGAUUGUGGGUUGAGUCCCAUCUAUGAUG